rnacentral:lncRNA from 1 species
CGCCCCGCCCUUGCCCAGAGUCUUCCCGGGAUUGGCUGCGGGCCUCGCGACCCUCCUGCUUCCCUCCCCGCCCCGCGCCGCCUCUCUGGUUUGUGCGCCCGUCGCAGGUCGCAGGCCUCUUUGUCAGCUGGAGUUGCGCGGUGAGUGCAUCUCCAGUCUUCGGCUUUCGGUCUCCCGCGGGGAGGGCGCCCGGCCGGCCCGUGGGUCCGAUCAGGGGCUGGGCUCGCCCGGUGUCCCCACGAGCUUUGCCCGCCUCGAGCUCCUCUGCUCCCGGCGGCCAGAACGGAGGGGUAGAGCAGCCCUCGGCGGCCCGGGGGGCGGGCGGCGGUGCCCGUCCCGGGGCUGCGCGAGGCACAGGCGCCGCGCCCAGCGGAACAGCCGGAGGUUCCCGGCGCAGGUCUGGGCACCGUAACAAUUUUGCGCUUUGCUUCCCCAGGGCUGACGCGCCACUAUGUAGCGGGUUUCGGGCGGGCCACGCGUGCGGGACAGGAACCCAACCCCAGCCGACCUUGAGCUCCAGGAGUUCGUCUCUUACGUCUGCGGAAGUGCAGCUGCCUCAGUUCUUAGCGCAGGUAUGUUCCUAGCCUUGAGCGGGGUGGGGGAAGGAAUGAGUCAGCCUGGAGCACGUGGCCAGUGGGACCGGAGGGUUCCCCGGCGUCUGUUUGUCGCCAAGGUCCGAAUCCGGCUCCCCUUAACUGGAAGGAAACAUCCAUGUAGGGGCUCACCAAACAAAACAGCUGUGUUUCUAGUGUGGUUUCAGACUUAGAGAAGCAGAGAUCCACGAGGUAUUGAGAGCAACGCGGAAAAUAGUAGUGAACCCUGU